CACGUAGGCACCAAGCGUUGUCCGGAUUUAUUGGGCGUAAAGAGCGUGUAGGCGGCCAGGUAGGUCGGUUGUGAAAACUGGAGGCUCAACCUUCAGACGUCGACCCAAACCCCCUGGCUAGAGUCCGGAAGAGGAGAGUGGAAUUCCUGGUGUAGCGGUGAAAUGCGCAGAUAUCAGGAAGAACACCCGUGGCGAAGGCGGCUCUCUGGGACGGUACUGACGCUGAGACGCGAAAGCGUGGGGAGCGAACAGG
rnacentral:rRNA from 1 species